ensembl:lncRNA
GGGGAGAGGAGAGAGACAGGGGAGAGGAGAGAGACAGAGGAGAGGAGUGAGACGGAGGAGAGGAGAGAGACGGAGGAGAGGAGAGAGAUGGAGGAGAGGUGAGAGACGGGGGGGAGAGGAGAGAGACAGGGGAGAGGAGAGAGACAGAGGAGAGGUGAGAGACGGAGGAGAGGAGAGAGACGGAGGAGAGUAGAGAGAUGGAGGAGAGGAGAGAGAGAGGAGAGGAGAGAGAUGGAGGAGAGGAGAGGAGAGAGACGGGGGGAGAGGAGAGAGACGGGGGAGAGGAGAGAGACGGAGGAGAGGUGAGAGACGGAGGAGAGGAGAGAGACGGGGGAGAGGAGAGAGAGAGAGAGACGACGGAGAGGAGAGAGAUGGAGGAGAGGAGAGAGACGGAGGAGAGGAGAGAGACGGAGGAGAGGAGAGAGACGGAGGAGAGGAGAGAGACUGAGGAGAGGAGAGAGACUGAGGAGAGGAGAGAGACGGGG